rnacentral:rRNA from 1 species
GACGAACGCUGGCGGCGUGCUUAACACAUGCAAGUCGAACGGUAAGGCCCCUUCGGGGGUACACGAGUGGCGAACGGGUGAGUAACACGUGAGCAACCUGCCCUUGACUCUGGAAUAACAGUUGGAAACAGCUGCUAAUACUGGAUAUGCACUCAUCUCCUCCUGGGGGUGAGUGGAAAGCUCCGGCGGUCAGGGAUGGGCUCGCGGCCUAUCAGCUUGUUGGUGAGGAAUGGCUCACCAAGGCUUCGACGGGUAGCCGGCCUGAGAGGGCGACCGGCCACACUGGGACUGAGAUACGGCCCAGACUCCUACGGGAGGCAGCAGUGGGGAAUAUUGCACAAUGGGCGCAAGCCUGAUGCAGCAACGCCGCGUGCGGGAUGACGGCCUGGU